UUGUAAACCGGACGUCGGAGGUUAAAAUCCUCCCUUUUGCU
rnacentral:tRNA from 1 species